UACGUAGGGGGCAAGCGUUGUCCGGAAUCAUUGGGCGUAAAGCGCGUGUAGGCGGUCCGGUAAGUCCGCUGUGAAAGUCCAGGGCUCAACCCUGGGAUGCCGGUCGAUACUGCCGGACUAGAGUUCGGAAGAGGCGAGUGGAAUUCCCGGUGUAGCGGUGAAAUGCGCAGAUAUCGGGAGGAACACCAAUGGCGAAGGCAGCUCGCUGGGACGUUACUGACGCUGAGGAGCGAAAGCGUGGGGAGCAAACAGG
rnacentral:rRNA from 1 species